rnacentral:rRNA from 1 species
UACGUAGGGGGCAAGCGUUGUCCGGAUUUAUUGGGCGUAAAGAGCGUGUAGGCGGCCUGAAAGGUCAGCUGUGAAAACUCGAGGCUCAACCUCGAGACGUCGGUUGAAACCAUCUGGCUAGAGUCCGGAAGAGGAGUGUGGAAUUCCCGGUGUAGCGGUGAAAUGCGCAGAUAUCGGGAGGAACACCAGUGGCGAAGGCGGCCUUCUGGACCAAUACUGACGCUCAUGCACGAAAGCGUGGGGAGCAAACAGG